rnacentral:rRNA from 1 species
UACGUAGGUGGCAAGCGUUGUCCGGAAUUAUUGGGCGUAAAGCGCGCGCAGGCGGUCCUUUAAGUCUGAUGUGAAAGCCCACGGCUCAACCGUGGAAGGUCAUUGGAAACUGGAGGACUUGAGUACAGAAGAGGAAAGCGGAAUUCCACGUGUAGCGGUGAAAUGCGUAGAGAUGUGGAGGAACACCAGUGGCGAAGGCGGCCUUCUGGUCUGUAACUGACGCUGAGGCGCGAAAGCGUGGGGAGCAAACAGG